rnacentral:misc_RNA from 1 species
GAUGAAGAACGCAGCGAAAUGCGAUAAGUAAUGCGAAUUGCAGAAUUCCAGUGAGUCAUCGAAUCUUUGAACGUACAUUGCGCCCUUUGGUAUUCCGAAGGGCAUGCCUGUUCGAGCGUCAUUAUCACCCCUCAAGCCCUCGGCUUGGUGUUGGACGGUUUGGUGGAGGCCCCCUCGGGGGCUCCUGCCCCUCCCAAAGACAAUGACGGCGGCCUCGUUGGACCCCCGGUACACUGAGUUCUUCACGGGACACGUAUCGGACACAUGGGUUUACGGGACACGGUCUGCCUCCCCUCAGGGAGAAUCUUUCUAAGGUUGACCUCGGAUCAGGUAGGGAUACCCGCUGAACUUAAGCAUAUCAAUAAGCGGAGGA